AGGUUCCGGUUACCUGAAGAGGCAGCCCAGAAGAAGAGGAAGAGGAAAGAAAGAGGGUUCAGCAAUGGCUCUUUCUGAGUCCCUCUCAUCUCUAGUUAUGUUCCAUCUCACCAUGCACCAGUGAAGUGGAUACUUUUAUCAACCAGGAUAAAAGAACACGCACACAGAAGUCUCGUAAUAACAUGCACAAAUACUUGGAAAUCAACAGAAAUGUCUGAAAGUUGAGAUGGUUUUUAUCAUCCAUUUCUUGGAGGUGGC